rnacentral:rRNA from 1 species
AUGUCGCCGGCGGCGUGGACGAGGACGAGGAAGCUCGUGCUUGGCCUUCCCCUGCUCGCCGGCCGAAGCAGCAGAUCCGCUGGAGAUGGCCGCUCCUCCUCCUACUUUGCCGGUGCCGGUGCCGCCGGAGAGAAGAAGAAGAGGUCUACGGCAGUCCGGAAGGUGGUGGCUAUCGGGGCCAUCAGCCUGGCCGGGGGAGUCGCCCUCAGCGCCAUCAACGACCUCGCCAUCUUCCACGGAUGCACCAGCAAGGCGAUCGACAAGGCUAGCGAGAACCCAGAGGUCGUACAGGCGAUCGGGGUGCCUAUAGCUAGAGGCCCAUGGUACGAUGCAUCUGUCGUUUUGGGUCAUCGGCGCCGAUCCGUGGCGUGCACGUUCCCGGUCACAGGGCCACGGGGUUCGGGAGUGUUUCAGAUCGAGGCCGUCCGGAAUGGAGAGGAUGGUGUGCUUUCGUUUCUGCGCCACCACGACUGGGAGAUACUGGCCAUGGAUGCUCGCCUGGAACUGCAGCUAGAAGCACUACCUUCAGAUGAUGGCAGUCAGGGUCAGCAACCAGUCGUGAUGAACCUAAACCUGAUGAGCAGCACUUCUGCUGAUGACGACGACAAUUGUAAGAUUAGUGAUACUGCUGGUGGUGGGGAAAUCAGUUGA